rnacentral:lncRNA from 1 species
CCGCAAUGAAUUGGUUUUAUUGUUUGUUGUUGCGGCUGCCCCCCCCCGGUGCGUGUCGUCUCUGUGCGCCGCCAUUGGUUUCCAAUGGCGGCGCGCGCGCUCCGCCAUUCGUUCCAGACUCUCUAUCCAAUGGCAGUUACUUGCGCAUGACACGACCCGACGCCUGACUUGGACUGGCCAUUCUUUCUUUGGUUGGGGUGCAUUGCGGCCUUUGCCCAUGGGACGAAAAAAACCCUGUCUACUUUUUACACCAACGCCGAGUCGAGGCGGCGUGCCGUCGCCAACGACACCCUCUUGGCACCAUAGGAAAGGGCAACAAGUAGGAAAAAAAUCAGAGACAGAAGAGUGGGAUUUGUCCGCUCUUUUCCAAGCCAAAGGGCAAUCGAGUGAAUGCGAAUAAAUGAG